rnacentral:rRNA from 1 species
AAACCGACACAGGUGGGUGGGAUGAGUAUUCUAAGGCGCGUGGAAGAACUCUCUUUAAGGAACUCUGCAAAAUAGCACCGUAUCUUCGGUAUAAGGUGUGGUUAGCUUCGUACUAGGAUUUACUCCGAAAGCGAAGAAACUUACAACAAAGAGUCCCUCCCGACUGUUUACCAAAAACACAGCACUCUGCUAACUCGUAAGAGGAUGUAUAGGGUGUGACGCCUGCCCGGUGCUCGAAGGUUAAUUGAUGGGGUUAGCAUUAGCGAAGCUCUUGAUCGAAGCCCGAGUAAACGGCGGCCGUAACUAUAACGGUCCUAAGGUAGCGAAAUUCCUUGUCGGUUAAAUACCGACCUGCAUGAAUGGCGUAACGAGAUGGGAGCUGUCUCAAAGAGGGAUCCAGUGAAAUUGUAGUGGAGGUGAAAAUUCCUCCUACCCGCGGCAAGACGGAAAGACCCCGUGGACCUUUACUACAGCUUGACACUGCUACUUGGAUAAGAAUGUGCAGGAUAGGUGGGAGGCUUUGAGUAUAUGACGCCAGUUGUAUAGGAGCCAUUGUUGAGAUACCACUCUUUCUUAUUUGGGUAGCUAACCAGCUUGAGUUAUCCUCAAGUGGGACAAUGUCUGGUGGGUAGUUUGACUGGGGCGGUCGCCUCCCAAAUAAUAACGGAGGCUUACAAAGGUUGGCUCAGAACGGUUGGAAAUCGUUCGUAGAGUAUAAAGGUAUAAGCCAGCUUAACUGCAAGACAUACAAGUCAAGCAGAGACGAAAGUCGGUCUUAGUGAUCCGGUGGUUCUGUGUGGAAGGGCCAUCGCUCAAAGGAUAAAAGGUACCCCGGGGAUAACAGGCUGAUCUCCCCCAAGAGCUCACAUCGACGGGGAGGUUUGGCACCUCGAUGUCGGCUCAUCGCAUCCUGGGGCUGGAGCAGGUCCCAAGGGUAUGGCUGUUCGCCAUUUAAAGCGGUACGCGAGCUGGGUUCAGAACGUCGUGAGACAGUUCGGUCCCUAUCUGCCGUGGGCGUAAGAAGAUUGAAGAGAUUUGACCCUAGUACGAGAGGACCGGGUUGAACAAACCACUGGUGUAGCUGUUGUUCUGCCAAGAGCAUCGCAGCGUAGCUAAGUUUGGAAAGGAUAAACGCUGAAAGCAUCUAAGCGUGAAGCCAACUCUAAGAUGAAUCUUCUCUAAGCUCUCUAGAAGACUACUAGUUUGAUAGGCUGGGUGUGUAAUGGAUGAAAGUCCUUUAGCUGACCAGUACUAAUAGAGCGUUUGGCUUAUCUUUAAUAAAGCAU